CACGAAAUAAGGCGAGCUAAAUAGUAAUAAUUAAUAGAUUAACAUAUGUAGCAUAAUAUAAUUAAAUUGUUAUUUAGGAGUGAUAGGCCAAUCAAGUCUUAAUAUAUCUUGAUAUCUUUUAAAAACAAUAGUGUUAGUACAACUUAAAAAUGAUAAGGUUUUUAAGGGACAUAAAUUAUUUAUAACAGUUUUAUUUUGGUUUAAUCACUAAGUAUAUAGUGCAACUUAUUAUUUAUAUAAAGAAUUUAUGUAUUAUAAAAGGUACCACAGAACAUAUAAGAGUGUCUAUAAUGUAAUUAUUAGUAACCUAAAAGGUUAAAUUAAUGAACUCGGCAACAUAUCUUUCAACUGUUUAUCAAAAACAUAGCCAUAAGAAAUUAUUUAUGGUCUUUUCUGCUCCAUGAUUCAUUUAAAUAGCCGCAGUACUCUGACUGUGCAAAGGUAGCGUAAUAAUUUGACUUAUAAUUGAAGUCCUGCAUGAAAGAAAGUUUGAAGGCUAACUGUAUCAGUUAAAUUAUGUGAAAUUACUAAAUAAGUGAAAAUACUUUUAUUAAAAUAAUAGACGAGAAGACCCUAGAAAUUUUUAUUAGAUGAUUACAAGCAUUUUUGUUGGGGCAACAAGGUAACAAGAAACUUACCGUAAAAUGACAAGGAAUAUACAUAUAGUAAGAUUAAAUUACUCUAGGGAUAACAGCGUAAUUUUUACUUGAUUGCGACCUCGAUGUUGGACUAGGGAACAACUGCUUAGAA
rnacentral:rRNA from 1 species